ensembl:snRNA U6 U6 spliceosomal RNA
GCACUCACUUCAGCAGCACAUAUGCUAACAUUGGAACAAUACAGGGAAGGUUAGCUUGGCCCCUGAGCAAGAAUGACACAUAAAUUUAUGAAGAUUCCAUAUUUUUU